AAUGAUGAGCCUGAUUAAAGGAUUAUCGUGAUAGGAUAAAACAUGUAGAAAACACCUACCAUCAUUA
rnacentral:tRNA from 1 species